AGGGCGGGAAGGCAGCAGCACCAGCGAGAC
rnacentral:SRP_RNA from 1 species